CAAACAGAGCAAUUUGUUCCUGGAGCUGGUGGACUCUCCUUGUUAACUGGUCCAGAUGAAGGUCCUACAGAGCCAGAGCCAAACAGUGCAGGCAGUUUGCAUGGAAUUCUGCACAGUACAGUGGAUUGUGUCCUGGAAGGCAGCAGAGGGAGCUCCAGCACCGACCGGCUCUGCUCAUCCCCAAACUUUCCAUUGUGAAAUUCGCUGUGGUUCACAAUUAUUCUCAAGACCUGUACACGUGAUAUUUCUUCAUUAAAUAUCCUCCUUCCCCCACA